UACGGAGGGGGCUAGCGUUGUUCGGAAUUACUGGGCGUAAAGCGCACGUAGGCGGCUUUGUAAGUUAGAGGUGAAAGCCCAGGGCUUAACCCUGGAAUUGCCUUUAAGACUGCAUCGCUAGAAUCGUGGAGAGGUGAGUGGAAUUCCGAGUGUAGAGGUGAAAUUCGUAGAUAUUCGGAAGAACACCAGUGGCGAAGGCGGCUCACUGGCCCGAUACUGACGCUGAGGUGCGAAAGCGUGGGGAGCAAACAGG
rnacentral:rRNA from 1 species